AACUCUGUCAGAUCAUGCUCUUGAGUAUGUUUUGGAUUGUGGGAGGUUCCUGCUGGCUUAUAUGAGCUAGCUCUCCUGAAAUACAUUAGCUUUGGGGGGAGGAGGUGCUGAGUCACUUCUGUCUUUCUAUUGGUUGUGAUAGAUGAAUUAACUUAUCUACGCCAGGAAAGCAGGCUGCAGUGGAUGCACUAUAAUCUCUCUGCUCUCUAAUUGACAAUUUGUCUGAUA
rnacentral:misc_RNA from 1 species